rnacentral:lncRNA from 1 species
CUCCCGUUUCAUGGUAAUACAAUUCUAAUUAAGUAAAUUAAUUAACUAAAAUACAGUGGGUGUCUCUCUUCCCCAGCCCUUUAUAUAUAAAAACAAAAUAUAGUUUUUAUAACAAAACAAAAAAACAAAAACAAAAAAAAUAACGUGUUUUCCCCUUUCUUUAUACCUCUAAAAAAAAAAGAAUUAUGGUGCAAAUCUCUGUAAGUCUUUUCCCAUUUCAAGUUUUGUAAUGUUUUUAAUUUUGAGGAUCAGAAGUUAAACUGUUUGUUAUUGUUGUCCGGGGUGCCCCCUUUUUGCUGAAAGCAGAUAAUUCUGCUUUUAUUUGAGAAUGCCAUGUCUCUCAGGUUGGUUUGUUGUUUUUUAAAGGUGAUACAGUUUUGAACAACUGUUAAGUGACAUUCUAUUUAUAUGUGGGGUUCUUUAAAAGACAUAAAAGUAGCCAGUAUGAGGAAUUGUAGCCAUGUGCGUUUUAUAUGAUGGACCGAUACUAAUUAAGUCUGACCACGUUCAAAACUUAAUAAAAACUAUUAACACCUACUAGACGAGUUCAAUAAGGGUGUAUAUUUGGAAUAAUGUUUACCUAAGUACUCUUGAAAGGCACAUAUUAUGUAUUUCUUUA